CAACACCUCAGGUCUGCCGAGAAGUUCAUUAAACCCUCCCACCUAGAGGAAGGAGAAGUCGUAACAAGGUUUCCGUAGGUGAACCUGCGGAAGGAUCAUUGA
rnacentral:rRNA from 1 species